GCAGACACAUUCCAGCCAAUCAGCAGCAGACCCUCCCUCCCAGACCCUUCCACCUCCUGGACAGCAUCCAUUUUACAUUCAUUGUGAAGCUGCAUUCUUAGUGAGCUGUCCAGGAGGUGGGAGGGUCUGGGAGGGAGGGUCUGCUGCUGAUUGGCUGGAAUGUGUCUG
rnacentral:miRNA from 1 species